CGGGGCGAGAUGAGGCGAGGGCGCGAGCCCGGAAGAGCCGCGCCACCGCCCACUGGCGGAUGGUGCGAAACUUCCCCGAUGGCCACCUCCCCUUGUCGUGCUGGUGCCGGGUUGGCGCCGGACACCACGCCCCAAGCCCGAGCCUUUGCUCCAGCCCCCCUCCAUUCACGGAAUGCAUCCCUCCUCACUGGGGCAUUUUACCUACUGAUAUAACACAUAUCUACUUAUAUUUACUUGAUAAAAAUGCAAUAAAUCUUCUGGCAAACACAUUAAUUUUACAUAUAGUCAAAGCUCUCAAUAAGUUAGCACUUAUUAAAAAUUUACUGUGGAGGGAGCUGGGUGGCUCAGAGGAUUAAGAGCAAAGCUUGGAGACCAGAGGUCCUGGUUUCAAAUGUGAACUCAAACACUUCCUAGCUGGAUGACCCUGGGUUGACAAGGUCUUGAGUUCAAAUUCAACCUCAGAGACUUCCUAGCUGAGUCACCUAAACCCAAUUGCCUGUUUGUUGCUGCUCUUCCGGUCUUAGAAUCAGUAGUCGAUUCUACAGUGGAAGAUGAGUGUGGACACUUGUGUGUGAAAGAGAUUUAAGUGGAAGAGUCGAUGCAAAGAGACAGUCCCACUCUCUCGACGUUGGAAGCCUGGGUCCAAUGGCAUGAAAGGUCGUUACACCUGGAGACUUCCUCAGCUGCAUUGGAUGGCCAUGUUGUCUUUUGUGCUCCAACAUGCCCUAAGCACUCCACAGUGCUUUGCUGCAUCGCCAUCUCAGCCGUUGAACCUUCUCUUCCUUCUGUUCGGCCGAAGCAGUCUUCACAUGCUGGGUGAGCAAAGCCCUGGUUCACCAGGGGUCGACGACCCGAUGGCUACCCUCACAAGGUUUAGCCAGCCUGUCGAAGCCGUUGCCCGGGAUGUGGCCGCUGCCACAUGCUAGCAGCUACUGGGAGCCACAAGUGAGAGCUGGGUGUCAGGUGAGGGUCAGAGGCUGGAGAGCUGCCCUAGGAGGGCACAACAAGCCCUCCAUACCAGAGAUACUACCCCUCUCUGAACACCCUAUCAUAGGAAUGAUAGAAAUACUCAAAACUCAAUCACCUUUUUGUCUUAGAAGUUUCUCCCAUUGUAUCUUAGGUCACUCCCUAGUACCCUAGCCUCAGGCUAUAUUUCCCAGGCCUUCUGAUAACCAGUCAGUAUAUGUUUUCUGUCCUUAAUUUCCCAAAACAUAUAUAAAACCCCCAAGUUCUAUUGCUCAUUGGAGAAUCAUCUUUGGCUGUGCAUUCUCCCAGAGAUUUUGUUCCCAAUUUAGCUCUCUGUGGUAUUUAGCAUUUGACUCUGUGUGGCAACUGAAUAUUAAGAACUUAUCCCUUAUCCUGAUUAAAGAUUUGGUUUUUCUGACCAUUUUUAGUGGUUCUGUGUUUUUCUGAGUUGACAGAGUCAAACAGGAUUAAAAAAAAAUGACUGAACAACAAAAAGUUAACACUUUGAAUGAAUAGAGAGCAUUAGCCUUAGACUUGUUAUUAGGGGAAAUUUAAGGGGAAGAAACAAGAAGUAAACAUCCAAAUCUUUUUAGUUUAUUAAUAGGGAAAUGGGAUAGGAAUGAGGGUAAAAAGGAUGUCAACAUGGAAAUCUAGAAGUCCCCAGUUUAUUUAGUUGGGAGGUAGAAACCCAGAAACCUUGUCACUGGAGAGUUUUCUCCCUGAGGGAAGGUCUUACUUCACCUGUCUCAGGCUAACAAUGGACAUCCUUGUAGUUUGGUUGGAAAUGGCUAAUCCCAUCAGAUGUUAAGUAUCGCUUUUUGUCCCAAUGGUUUCUCCCCUUAGUCCAAAGUCCUUUACCUAGGUGGCCCAGCCCUGGGCUGGAUCUUUCCCUUUUGUGUCCAUUGUAAAGCAUCAGUCCCUCACUGUUAUUCCUGUCUGGAACUAAUUUUCCUUUCUUACCAUUGUAAUGUCAAUCAACUGUUCCUCUCAUCCUGAGCCCCUAAAUUUCACCUGGAAAGAUAUUUAAACUUCCCACUUUAAUGGCUCUUUGGAAUUGUUAUUCUCCUACGUUUGGCAUUCCCAGGGGUCAGUGACCAGAGUGGCCAGAGUUCAAUCCUCAGAUUCUGUGCAGUGUGGCUUGAAGCCCUAUGUUGAGGCCUACUAGCAUUGAACCCCUUUUGCCCUUGAUUAAAGAGUGAUUUUAACCAUUUAAUAGUUCUGUGUUUUUUCCCAGUCGACAAGGAGAAGGGAAAUUUCUAAAUCUUAUCCCCAAAACUAAUAACUAUCCUAUUGGCAAAAUUCCAAAGCUAAAGAAGUUAAGUCACACAUCAAUAGUAUCUCACAAAGUUGAGUCCAAGAUGGGCCAAAGUCCAAAAGGAAAGAUAACAACUCCCAAUGAAGUAGGUGAAUCUUCCUUGUAUUCUCCAGGCCAGCUGACCUGCAGUCUGGCUGAAGUAGUCCUUCUCCACAGCUGAUGUCUUCCAAGGACCUGUGGUAUCUUUUAUAGUUGAAAUUGUAGCUACCAGGCACCCUUACUUCUGCUCCAGAAGGAAAAACUGUUGUCCAUUGGGACAAACCUCCCCCAACCUCCUUGCUUGGAAUCUUGACCCAGAGCCCCAUGUAAUUCUGUGUCAUAUGUCUCUGUCAAUCAAAAUGCAGUCUUUUCUCUUCCUUAAUACAGUCAAGACAGACAUUCAGAUAUUACUACAAAUAUUUAGUAGCCAUAGGACUCUGGAUAAGUUUUAUAACUGUUGGAAAGGAAUCUCUCCUUUAUGUUACUUUGUUUGAUGUCAUUAAUCAGGCAAAUUAAGGAACUAUGGUUGGUUCCUGAGAUAUGUUAACUUGAAAAUAACACAAAACUAUCAAAUAGUCAGAAAAAACAAGUCUUUAAUCUGGAGAGGUAUAAGUCCAGUAUUUGAUUCUUUACUCAGAGUCUGGCACCACAACUUUUACAGGGUUUACACCCUGGACUCUGGGGAUGUUAUCCCUGGGAGUGCCACCAUGCGAGAUGAGGACUUUGAGGAGAAUGAAUUGUUGCAGAAAGAUGCCAGAAAAUCCACACUACAUCAAGAAGAUCAAGAAUGAACUUUGGAUAUGGUUGAUUGAACUGAACUUUGAUUGAACAUUUAUUGUAAUUGUACACAUUUAUGCCAAAAGGGACUGCCCCUAAUUUGGCUUUCUGUCAAUGCGCCCAGCAAAACAUUGGUUUUGCUUUCUUUUCUCUUCUAUUUCCUCCCUCACUAUUCUAAUUUCUCUUAGAAAAUUGAAUAUUGUGUAUAUCUAUAGUUAGAAGUUUAUUUAGAACUACAAAAUGAUUAUGUUAAAUGAUCAAUGGGGAGACUAGUCUCCCAAUGAUCAUCAGGGGGGAUUGUGAAUCUUGAAAUUUCUCAGACUUGUGAAUGUUUUAAAAAUUCCCCAGUGGGGAAUUUUUUAUUGGGACAAUUAUUGGAACUAUUCCCCAUUUUAAACAGUGAAGCUACUUAGAUCUAAAAUAUGAGAACUCUACUUAGAUCAGAAAUGUGAAGACCUCUACUCCACCCGUACUUAAGACUGCUUUAGGGGAGAAAACUCCUUGCUGAACAAUGAAAAAUACUUACACCCAUACUUAAGCCAUGCCUAUUUUUAGAAUUAAUUAUGAACUUAAAAGGAGCAAAGAGGAAAAAACUUACACAGAGAUUCUAACCUACUCAGGUGUGGAUUACUAAAAGGAUUAAUCUACUCAGGUGUGAAUUCAGAAUGGGCUGUCCUUUGGAAAACGUCUACUGUGAUUGGUAGAUGGAAGAACUUAGGGGAGGUAACAUAGGAGAAAACCCGCUAUAUAAGAAAAAGGACAGACUGUUGAAAAAAAAUCUCUUGAGAUAUACAGACUCUUGAGAGACAAUCUCUAAAGAGGUCUUUCAAGGGAGGCUGACUCUGGCUGGAACUCCCUCUGGGGAGACUCUGUCCCCCUGAAUCCUAGCUUGAACAGAUCCUAUGGUGAGUGAUUAGGACUGACUGAUCUUUUUGGGGGGGGCUUAGGCCUGGGUUGGCCAGGGCUGCCUGGGCCGGCCUAUUCUUUUCUCAUUUAUUUCCUUUCUCUCUCUCUCUCUCUCUCUUUCUUUGAUUUCUCAUUGUAUUAUUAAUUAAAAUCUCUAUAAAACCCAGUUGACUUGGGUAUAUUCAUAAUUGGGAAUAUUUCCCUGGCUACCACCUUGGAUAUUGAUUUUAAAACAAGACACUGUAGUGAAAACAUAUUUCCUAUGAUCACAAUAUACUCACCCACUCUUAUAUCUACAACAAUUUAAGUCUUCCACUAUUUUAACUCACUACAGUUUACCACCUCAACCAUUUUAACUCUUACAGUUUAUGGUUCCAACUCUUUUAAAUGCUACACUAUAUAAUGAAGUAAUGAAGGAGGAGUUGAGGUCUCUAAGUCCACCUCCUCUUUGGAAAUAUCCACUAGUGGGGACUGAAAGGGAAGGCCCAAAGGUCAAACUGUCAGGACAAUCAGAAAGAGAGUAUACCUUCAUAUAUAAAUGAUGUUCCAGGCUCAUUGAGGGUUGUUUACUUAAAAGGUCAAUGAAAAAUCCAUUCUUUGUUAGCAGUACUUCUGAAAAUAAACAAUAUUAU